rnacentral:rRNA from 1 species
ACGCUCGACACCUACGGUAGGCAGCAGUGAGGAAUAUUGGUCAAUGGGCGCUAGCCUGAACCAGCCAAGUAGCGUGAAGGAUGAAGGCUCUAUGGGUCGUAAACUUCUUUUAUAUAAGAAUAAAGUGCAGUAUGUAUACUGUUUUGUAUGUAUUAUAUGAAUAAGGAUCGGCUAACUCCGUGCCAGCAGCCGCGGUAAUCUGAGCGGGCUGGCAAGGC